GGCAAGGAGCUUCCCAAGCAAAAAAGAAUGAGCCGGUUGCGUCGAGUCCGCGACCGGCACAA
rfam:Bacteria symbiont BFo2 of Frankliniella occidentalis strain BFo2 contig409, whole genome shotgun sequence.